AUUGAACGCUGGCGGCAGGCCUAACACAUGCAAGUCGGACGAGUGGCGGACGGGUGAGUAAUGUCUGGGAAACUGCCUGAUGGAGGGGGAUAACUACUGGAAACGGUAGCUAAUACCGCAUACCAUCGGAUGUGCCCAGAUGGGAUGAGCUAGUUGGUGGGGUAAAGGCUCACCUAGGCGACGAUCCCUAGCUGGUCUGAGAGGAUGACCAGCAACACUGGAACGGAGACACGGUCCAGACUCCUACGGGAGGCAGCAGUGGGGAAGAUUGCACAAUGGGCGAAAGCCUGAUGCAGCCAUGCCGCGUGUAUGAAGAAGGCCUUCGGGUUGUAAAGUACUUUCAGCGGGGAGGCGUUACCCGCAGAAGAAGCACCGGCUAACUCCGUGCCAGCAGCCGCGGUAAUUC
rnacentral:rRNA from 1 species